CACAUGCAGUCGGACGGUAGCACAGAGAGCUUGCUCUUGGGUGACGAGUGGCGGACGGGUGAGUAAUGUCUGGGGAUCUGCCCGAUAGAGGGGGAUAACCACUGGAAACGGUGGCUAAUACCGCAUAACGUCGCAAGACCAAAGAGGGGGACCUUCGGGCCUCUCACUAUCGGAUGAACCCAGAUGGGAUUAGCUAGUAGGCGGGGUAAUGGCCCACCUAGGCGACGAUCCCUAGCUGGUCUGAGAGGAUGACCAGCCACACUGGAACUGAGACACGGUCCAGACUCCUACGGGAGGCAGCAGUGGGGAAUAUUGCACAAUGGGCGCAAGCCUGAUGCAGCCAUGCCGCGUGUAUGAAGAAGGCCUUCGGGUUGUAAAGUACUUUCAGCGGGGAGGAAGGCGACGGGGUUAAUAACCCUGUCGAUUGACGUUACCCGCAGAAGAAGCACCGGCUAACUCCGUGCCAGCAGCCGCGGUAAUACGGAGGGUGCAAGCGUUAAUCGGAAUUACUGGGCGUAAAGCGCACGCAGGCGGUCUGUUAAGUCAGAUGUGAAAUCCCCGGGCUUAACCUGGGAACUGCAUUUGAAACUGGCAGGCUUGAGUCUUGUAGAGGGGGGUAUAAUUCCAGGUGUAGCGGUGAAAUGCGUAGAGAUCUGGAGGAAUACCG
rnacentral:rRNA from 1 species